UGGUGCCGAGGGCAUCGAAGGAGAAGGAAAAGGAGCUGCCGCGCCAUUGAAGAGACGGGCAGGGGAGGCACGUGGCCAGGGCUACAGCCGUUUCUCUGAAGCUGGAGGGGAAAUCACAGUCUGAGGCUUUAAAUCAACCGGAAGCAUGCCAUCACUUCCCAUCAGAGAACUACUUAAAGAGGCAAGAAGAUUGUAGGAUAAAUUUAGGACUAACGGAUUUCCAAGAUGUGUUAGGAUGGAAUGAGUCCCAAAACACUCCAUCUCCCAUCCAUAAAAUGACUGGCAUCAUCAUUGGAAUAAUCUAGAAAUCAUUAAAAUUUAUUCACAAAAGGCAA